rnacentral:lncRNA from 1 species
UGAAUCUGAGACCCAACCCAAAUAACACCAGCUUCAUCCCCACAUCUCCUCCGCCGCCACCCUCUCGCGCCACCCCCCGUCCCUGCCGCCGGCGGUGAUAGCUCCGACGCCGACCUCCGUCCGCCCGCCGCCCUAACCCCCGCCCUCGACCACAUCCCCCGACCUCGAGCUCCACAUCCCCGGCCCCUGCUUCUGCCACCGCCGCCCCUUUUCUCUCCCGCAAAGACCCUUGUCCAGAUCUAUCAGCCGCAGGCCCGUUUCAUUGGUGGGCAGCCGGUGGCCUUCGAGGUGCGUUCCCCGUCAUGUGCUAGGUGCCACACGCCUGGUCGCUGGUCGUCCUCAGAAUAGCUGUCGGCUCUCUCCCUCCUUCAUGUACGCAGGCCAGAUGAACUGUUCUUUGCUAGGUAAAGGGUCGAUGAUGGCAUCCGCAGUUGUUCUUCCAAACACGAGCAACAUCCUGUGUCUCUCAUAGAUCGACCUGCUAGUUUGCUUCAACUUGUGAGCUGUAUUGUUGGUAUCUACGUUGGAGUGAUUGAACAUGUCAUUAGUCUGAACCUAAACUGAUCCCUGCUUAGUUAGUCAGUCCCUUUGUUUAAGAUUAGGCUGUGGCAUUACGAAGGUUACUUGUUGGAUCUGUGGUGCUACUGAGAAGUGCACAAUCCAACCUUAUUUUAUUUCAGUUUCUAAUUUGUUGGUCAGAUCGAUGACUACAGGGAUGGGUUACUUCAAAUUUCUGAAUUAUAAGAUUGCAAGUUUCUGAAAUGUCGGUCUAGAUUGCAUGUGUAACCAGCUAUACAGAUGAUAUUGCUAGAAUUAGUAAAAAAUCUAGAGUACCACUUUUCUCGUAGCCCUUGGAUAAAAUUCAUAGAUUAUGGUGGACAAAUUAGUAGCCCUUGGAUAAAGUGGUAUGAUUGGAAAUAACCUGAACCCGCCUUCUUCAUGUGCGCUACCAGUACAUACAUAGCGGUAAAAAUCUCCCCCGGCCGUGUGCUAUGUCGCUUGAGGCUCGACCAGUUUCUCUGCUUAAGCGACACCACCCAAGAUCCUACUAAAUUGAUCUUGCUCAACUAAUCUGUCUACCAUAAUCUAUGAACUUUUCAUCAGCGUCCGUCAUGCGUCUCUUGCGAGGGAAAAAGAACAGAUCGGUGGUGUUUGGGAAAGGAUGACAUGCAAGCGCUUUGCGCAUAGUGAGAUAACAGAUCCAGACCCAUUUACUUUGUUCUUCCCAUAAUAGUUCUCCAUAGACUCCGGUGCUUAUCAUUGAAUCUUCACUUUUUUCUUUGUUCCCAUAUGGUUGCAGACAGGCCUGACGGCUGAAGCUAGUUUGAUUGGUGCGUUCCUAGCAAGACUGAUGUGUUGCGCUUCACAUCUGGGCAUGAAUGUGUGUAUCUCUAUCUUCUUUUAUUAACCGGUGAGUCUGUAUAGUGGGGUUUGCGUCGUCCUACAACUUUUGAUAAACAAACUUUCAAUAAUCCUUACUUUUUAGUAGCUGUCUAAAUAAAAUGUUUGUACUCCAUCUGUCCCGAAUUACUUAUCUUCAAUUUUUCUAGAUACUGAUGAAUCCAACACUAUCUAAAACAAGUAAAUUGGGAAGGAGUUAAUAUUAUUUUUGACAUUUUGGUUUUGCAGCUACAACUUUAAUGAGUAAUGUGUUUAAGUUUUUCAGUUACCGGCAGAUGUGAUAAAUAUUUCCAAUUAUUAUGAUGCAUCUAAUUCAGAUCUGUAAGUUUGAUCUCAAGGGUGAUAAAUUGUAAACCAUGUUGUUUAAUUUUCUUUACUUGUAUUAAAAUUUCCUCUUUCUAGUUUACUCUAUGUAUAUGUGGUCUUCUAAAUAGAGGGCAGGCCUGGCGCAGUGGUGAAGUCCUCCCCACUUGUGCCAAGAGGUCCUGGGUUCGAACCAGCCUCUCUGCAUUGCACUUUGCAGGGGUAAGACUAGGUUCCUAUAAUCCCUCCCCAGACCCCACCUUGUGUGGGAGCUUCUAUGCACUGGGUCUGUCCUUUAUAUGUGGUCUUCUAAAUAAUACUUCAAUUCAGUCACAUAUUUUCAAUGCCAACGGCAACAGGUAACAAAGGUAUGUGCGACAUGUAGUUGUAGCAUUACUAUGGCAGUGUGCGUGAAAGCAAGAUACUAUUUUUAUAACAACAUUUACUUUACCGUUGUGAUGUACUCCCUCCGUCCCAAAAUAAGUGACUCAACUUUGUACUAGCUCUAGUACAAAGUUAGUACUAAGUUGAGUCACUUAUUUUGUACAAAGUUGAGUCACUUAUUUUGGGACGGAGGGAGUACUAAUUUAGGAACUUUAGUAUCCUCUAUUUUUUAUUGGUGUUCAAUUUAUAAUACCCUAUUUGUUUGGGUUUACAAGUUUCACUAGUUUCUAUUGACUUGCUCAGUUAUAUUGAUAUAACCAAACUGAAAAAAAAUUGAAAGUGUCUUGGAAUAAAUCUAUAUAAUUGUUUACUGUUUAUAUUUUGAAAAAAGGUUAUUGUUUGAUAAAAAUGAGUUUAUCCUGGAGUCUUUUCAUCAGUUUUCACAUAUUAACAUAGUAGGACUAACUAUAUUAAAGAAUCAACUUGAUCAUAAUUUAUUUUCUGAGGUCCUUUUGAGCCAUGAGAUAUUGAAAAUAGUUAAUUAAAUCAUUGCACUGGAUAUAGAAGUUAUGAUUUAUGCCAUCAAACGAAGGUAUACUUAGAGACAUGCCAACUAUUUCUUUUUUGCACGGGAGAAAUAAACCUUGAUCGCAUGGUGCACGCAACCUAAGUGGAUGCACCACAUUAGCCGGUGCGUACAAAUAAUGUUCGUUCAGUUUUCAUCAUUAAACAACAAUGCCAUGAGUAUCAUCUCAGUUGUAUGCUACUAAAAUAUUUCUAAAUUCUGUAAUUUCUAAGUAUAUACUAACACAUUCAUGAAAACGAUGGUAGCUAGCCUGUGUAGGGUUGAUGACUAGUGGCAUAAACUAAAUUGCACAUCCUACAGUUUUUUGGUCUGAAGUUGUACAUAUUAGUUCUACUUCAUCAGAUAACGUGCAAACACAAUUAUUUUUGAACUUUGAAGUAGGUAAAAUGGUUAUGGGUCACCCACACAUAUUCCUCAUAUGUACACAUGAGUAACAAUCACAUGUUUGUAGUCCCAUUCAGUUGGGACAUAUGAGAAUUUGACCCAUAGCCUCCAUAUUUGAGCUAACUUCGUAUUAGAACAAGUACAACUUUACACUGGCUGAUCCCACUACAGUUUCUUCCAUGUAAGAGGUUGAAUAGAAUCUGUAGAUAUGCCUGCCAUGGAGAAAUGCUUACUCUAUGUAUAUGUAGAUAUGUCUGCAUGAUGAUUCCUUUCAGCAUUUUAAAAAUAUUUUACAUCACAUAUGGCAGAACUAUGUUAUAUGUGUUCUGGGCAUAUGUCAUGAAUACUCUUGUGCUUCUCUUGGCUGCCAAUCUCCCUAUGAGCUUCGAAUAACUCGAGCUGACUGCACUUUCUACCAAAUUCUUGUGUAAUAUUUUCAGGUAAUCAGCCACCUAGUAUUCAUGGAUGUGAUGACUUUGGAGUGUUAUGGAGCAUUUGGUUGACUGCAGUAUUUUGGAUCAGCCAACUUAAUUGUAAUCAUGAAUCUUAUGUGUGUUCUGGACCAUUUGGUGUUCAAGUGAUAUGGAGUAGAAAUCCCGUGGAUGUGACUUAAGUGUUUGGACCAUUUAUAGUUUGAACUCUUUUAGACCAUCAAAUAAGGGUCCUUUUAUGUGACUUGUGUUUUCUAGAUGUUUGCCAAGAUGGCCAAACUUUGCUUUGUCAAGGUUGACUUGAGUUUGAAUCUGUGAUCAAUGAUUGUGCAAUAUGUGUUCUUGAUCUUGUGUGUGGAUAAGAGGUGAACAUUGUAUAACAAUUGAAUCGGAGCAAUAGCCAAUUGUAG